rnacentral:misc_RNA from 1 species
UCUCCGUUGGUGAACCAGCGGAGGGAUCAUUAACGAGUUUCCAACUCCCAAACCCCUGUGCACGUACCUAUCGUUCCCUCGGCGGUGCCCGCUCCCGCGGCCCGCCAGAGGACCCCCACACUCUUGUUUUCUACAGGAUCUUCUGAGUAACACGAUUAACUAAAUCAAAACUUUCCACAACGGAUCUCUUGGUUCUG